UCAAAUUCGGCUUUCAGUGUUCCGAAUGUAGUAACCUGGUAGCACCUCACUUCGCCGAGAAGGCUAAUGAUUGCAUUCGAAUGGGCUUUGAUUCUCGCCGGAUCCUUCCCAUGCGGAUCCUGCAGAUGUUUAAUCUUGAUUGUUCAUGUAUUAAUCUUGUGGCCACAAGUCAAUACCAUUAUAUUUUGGCAUUUUCACGAAAAACCAUACUUCACUGGCCCUUUCUCUCCCUCUCACUGUCUCUCUCUCUCACCCAAACAAGCAAUGCAACCAAAGUAAUGGCAGAGAGUCUCUCCUUCUGCCUUACCAACGAUGCAACUAAAAUCCCCAAUCUUCCUCAUCUCCUUUUCCCACAAACCAAUCUCAUCUCUCACACCCAAAAAUUCACUCAAAAUCCCCAAUAUUCUUU
rnacentral:lncRNA from 1 species